rnacentral:tRNA from 1 species
CAAUGUGUUACAGUUGUAUUAUUCACGUCUGGGGGGCGUGAGGUCGCUGGUUCGAGUCCAGUCAUCCCGAC